rnacentral:rRNA from 1 species
GUCCACGCCGUAAACGAUGGAUACUAGCUGUUGGGAGUAAUCUCAGUGGCUAAGCGAAAGUGAUAAGUAUCCCACCUGGGGAGUACGUUCGCAAGAAUGAAACUCAAAGGAAUUGACGGGGCCCGCACAAGCGGUGGAGCAUGUGGUUUAAUUCGAUGAUACGCGAGGAACCUUACCAAGGCUUAAAUGUAGAUUGACAGGACUGGAAACAGUUUUUUCUCGGACAAUUUACAAGGUGCUGCAUGGUUGUCGU